GAUGAACGCUGGCGGCGUGCCUAACACAUGCAAGUCGAGCGAACAGACGAGGAGCUUGCUCCUUUGACGUUAGCGGCGGACGGGUGAGUAACACGUAGGUAACCUACCUAUAAGACUGGGAUAACUUCGGGAAACCGGAGCUAAUACCGGAUAAUAUUUCGAACCGCAUGGUUCGAUAGUGAAAGAUGGCUUUGCUAUCACUUAUAGAUGGACCUGCGCCGUAUUAGCUAGUUGGUAAGGUAACGGCUUACCAAGGCAACGAUACGUAGCCGACCUGAGAGGGUGAUCGGCCACACUGGAACUGAGACACGGUCCAGACUCCUACGGGAGGCAGCAGUAGGGAAUCUUCCGCAAUGGGCGAAAGCCUGACGGAGCAACGCCGCGUGAGUGAUGAAGGUCUUCGGAUCGUAAAACUCUGUUAUUAGGGAAGAACAAACGUGUAAGUAACUGUGCACGUCUUGACGGUACCUAAUCAGAAAGCCACGGCUAACUACGUG
rnacentral:rRNA from 1 species